GAAGAUUAAAGGGAGGGGCUGUAGUUACCAGGAAUCAGUAACAAAGAGAGGAGAGGAAGAAGAAGAAGAAAAAAGAGAAGGAGAAGCUGAUGUUGCGCGUGGUGAUGCGCAGGAGAAGAGGAUAAUCUGUGCAGCGACUUGAUGCACGUUUUUUCUGUUUUGCGGCUCCUUCCGACGUGAUUUCGCCAUAUCUGUGCUAGAUUUGAGGGCGAAGUAUUUCACGGUGAGUUCUAAUCGAUUUGCAAUAGCAUGCGUCGACGAUUGAUAGUGAGCGAUGGCGGCACGUGGCAAUUUAGUGGCAGCACAUGUGGCGGCGCACGGACUUCCGGUAGUUGCGCGCAGUGAAUCCUAGGAACCCGGUUCGAGUAGAUUGAUCUUGUAUCUCGGGGAUAAUUUCACGAAAGAAAUUUAGUCAAAAAUGGUAAGUACAUAAGUACUUACAAAUAUAGGUUAAUCUAUUUAAGAUACUAAAACUAUGAUGUUUAAUAAUUGACAAUUUAUUAAUAGAUGCAGAAUUUUGACAAAA